UGUGGAGACUUGCUGGUGCCCACCCGGCAGGGUCUCCACGUCUCGUCUGUAGAACCGGGGAGGGAUUGAAAGUUUCGUUAGAUGCCCAUGCCGGACGCAGGGAGCCGUCAGUCCUUCCCACUGCAUUCACUACUAGGAAACAAGCUCGUCGAGGUUUGACCUUGCUUGGCCUCUGGACAAAAGUUUCAUUCAUUGUGAAUUGAUUGUAGUCUCCACGAUGUAACAUCAUGUAUCCGGCUUCCUCCCUGUGUCUCCUGGUUCCAUACCUCCUUUCUGGACCCUUCUGAACUGCGUCCGUAAGUACCUGCUGCCCUUCUAAUCCACAUGGCUGGUUAUCCUAAGGCGUCUGAACCUCACUAGUGUUACACCCCCUUAUCGAUCUGCCUGUGCUGACUGAACAUGGAGCACUGAAGGUGAGUUCAUUUCUAGAUCGGAGGGGUGACCAAGGCCAGAGUCUCAGGAGUUCCAUUUGUCUCUAUGUGGCCAUCGAGCUUGGUCUCUUAUGAUUUUGAGUUUUGUUCCACAUGUUUCUCACACUCUAUCCCAAACCUUCUAAUAUGAUCUCUUUCACAGCAAUUGGUGGGAAUAGCCAAGCACCGCCUAAUCCUUCUGUUCUCACCAUGGAAAUGGCUGUUCGUGUGGCCCAGUCACCCGCAGCUGCUUCCAGGCACCUUCUUUCCUCCAAACAGGGAGAGACCAAUCGUUGAGAUUUAGAUGGCCACUCUUGAGUUUGUAAGACCCUAUACACAAUCUUCUGAGAGGAGAGGAGAGAAGAAAGAAAAAACAAACAUAACUGGCUACCAAGUUGUACACUGUCAUCCAAUGGCUUAAUAAACAAAUGCAUAUGUAUAUAUGAUUUGUUUAUAUAUAUAUGAUUUGAAGAGUAAACACUGAACAAGUU